GGAGCAGAAGAGGGUCCUCAAAGAGCUCCAGACAAAUAGGGCAGGUCAGCUCCGACUCCAGUGUUUCCAUCUUCAGGCAAAGCUCUCCUGGGUCAUCAGCAAAAUCCAAGGAAGCUGAUCAGCUAUCUGGAAACAGAACUGGAAACCCCAGGGCUGCUGUUGUGAGAAACUUACCAGCCCCGCUUGGUUCCGGCCAACCCUUCCUACACAAAUAGCCUGGAAGAAAUGGAAAGGUUUUACCUAUUAAUCAUCAUUUUGGUUCAUCAUGGAAAAACAGAAUUCUCUCUACAUCAAAUUUCUUCUCACUUCCCAUCAGAAGCAUGUAAAGGAAAAAGGUAGCCCCUUUGGUCUGCUUCGUGCUCAGGUGAAACAGAAACACCUACCGAUGGAUCUCAACAGGGGGCUGAGCGUCAACUAUGCCUGGAGAGUUUUGACGAUUGUAUUUUUAGGCAGGUGCUAGAAUUCCAUCCCGGAGCAGUGCAAUCAGAAUUUCUAGAGGUGAUGACGCUGCCGACCCCGAUGGAAAUGCUGACAUUUUAUUCAAGAGACAUUUACCGAAUACCAAGCACUGAGCUGGCUCCUGGCUUCCUCCUCUUCCCCUUUCUAUGAUCGUGGACGAAGCCAACAAACAUCCUCUCCUACCUGGAUGAUCGCAGUAUUUUUUCUAAAUGGUCUCCUGGCUUCUGCUCAGUCUUGCCCCUCCCCCCCCCCACCCCGCCCCGCGCCC